rnacentral:piRNA from 1 species
UGUAAUAGAGGAUUUUUCCUAAGGCCUGGAA